rnacentral:rRNA from 1 species
ACGGGACCGCACAAGCGGUGGAUGAUGUGGAUUAAUUCGAUGCAACGCGAAAACCUUACCUACCCUUGACAUGUCUGGAACCUUGGUGAGAGCCGAGGGUGCCUUCGGGAGCCAGAACACAGGUGCUGCAUGGCUGUCGUCAGCUUGUGUCGUGAGAUGUUGGGUUAAGUCCCGCAACGAGCGCAACCCUUGUCACUAGUUGCCAUCAUUUAGUUGGGCACUCUAGUGAGACUGCCGGUGACAAACCGGAGGAAGUGGGGAUGACGUCAAGUCAUCAUGGCCCUUACGGCCAGGGCUACACACGUGCUACAAUGGUCGGUACAGAGGGUUGCCAAGCCGCGAGGUGGAGCUAAUCUCACAAAACCGAUCGUAGUCCGGAUCGCAGUCUGCAACUCGACUGCGUGAAGUCGGAAUCGCUAGUAAUCGUGAAUCAGAAUGUCACGGUGAAUACGUUCCCGGGCCUU